AUGUACCCUUUACACUCCGCUCCCUCCGCGCCGGCCGCACCCACCUGACAACAACUGCUCGCUACGUUUUGUUAGCU
rnacentral:sRNA from 1 species